GUGCCAGCCGCCGCGGUAAUACGAAGGGUGCAAGCGUUACUCGGAAUUACUGGGCGUAAAGCGUGCGUAGGCGGUUUGUUAAGUCUGUCGUGAAAGCCCCGGGCUCAACCUGGGAAUGGCGAUGGAAACUGGCGAGCUAGAGUACGGUAGAGGAGAGUGGAAUUCCCGGUGUAGCAGUGAAAUGCGUAGAGAUCGGGAGGAACAUCAGUUGCGAAGGCGGCUCUCUGGACCAGUACUGACGCUGAGGCACGAAAGCGUGGGGAGCAAACAGGAUUAGAUACCCUCGUAGUCC
rnacentral:rRNA from 1 species